GAUGAAGAACGUAGCGAAAUGCGAUAAGUAAUGCGAAUUGCAGAAUCCGUGAGUCAUCGAAUCUUUGAACGCACAUUGCGCCCUCUGGUAUUCCGGAGGGCAUGCCUGUUCGAGCGUCAUUAUCACCCCUCAAGCCCGGCUUGUUGUUGGAUGCAGCGCUUAUCCCGCUCCUCCCAAAGAUAAUGACGGCGUCUGCGACGACUCCAGUACACUGAGCUUUCGGGCACGUACACGGCUAGAAGUCCAGACCCGGUCGCCGUCCCCCCCGCGGGGACACCCAUUACCACAAGGUUGACCUCGGAUCAGGUAGGAAUACCCGCUGAACUUAAGCAUAUCAAUAAGCGGAGGA
rnacentral:misc_RNA from 1 species